rnacentral:rRNA from 1 species
UACGUAGGGGGCAAGCGUUGUCCGGAUUUAUUGGGCGUAAAGAGCGUGUAGGCGGCCAUGCAGGUCAGCUGUGAAAACUCGAGGCUCAACCUCGAGACGUCGGUUGAAACCGUAUGGCUAGAGUCCGGAAGAGGAGAGUGGAAUUCCCGGUGUAGCGGUGAAAUGCGCAGAUAUCGGGAAGAACACCAGUGGCGAAGGCGGCGUCCUGGCCUGCGACUGACGCUGUGGCGCGAAAGCUAGGGGAGCGAACGGG